UGGGGAAUUUUGGACAAUGGGCGAAAGCCUGAUCCAGCCAUGCCGCGUGAGUGAAGAAGGCCUUCGGGUUGUAAAGCUCUUUUAGUCGGAAAGAAAGAGUUGCAAUGAAUAAUUGUGAUUUAUGACGGUACCGACAGAAAAAGCACCGGCUAACUACGUGCCAGCAGCCGCGGUAAUACGUAGGGUGCGAGCGUUAAUCGGAAUUACUGGGCGUAAAGGGUGCGCAGGCGGUCUUGCAAGUCAGAUGUGAAAGCCCCGGGCUUAACCUGGGAAUUGCGUUUGAAACUACAAGGCUAGAGUGCAGCAGAGGGGAGUGGAAUUCCAUGUGUAGCAGUGAAAUGCGUAGAGAUGUGGAAGAACACCGAUGGCGAAGGCAGCUCCCUGGGUUGACACUGACGCUCAUGCACGAAAGCGGGGGGAGCAAACA
rnacentral:rRNA from 1 species